CAUAGCCUUCUGAAACUUUCACCUUUUGUGGACUAAAUUGAUCCAAGUAUGGCCUCUUUCUGAAGGCCAACCUCAGUCAGAGCAGAAUUCACAAAUGUUUUAGAAAGCCUGCCCACUAUCAGCUCGCACUGUGAUUAAAUGUGUCACUUGGAUUUAACUAUUGACUAGCAAUGUGACCGAGUAGUCCACAAUGAAUUACGGGCCAACACAUCAAGCCUGAAGCAAGACAUUGGUGAAGCCUGUGAUGUUCCUAUAUUAAUGUAUAUAUGCAGCUAACAUUAUCUUGUAUCAUCACCUGAUUGUUCAGUAAAUCUUGCCAACCUAACAACAGAGAAAUAUUUUACUACUUAACCAAUGCCAAUUGCUGGAUUUUACCUUCUCCUGUUCCCUGUUGUAAGAACAAAUGUACAAAUGGCAAUCAACGUUCAAGAUAGUAUUGACCUCUGACAUUGGCAUUUCCUUCCAAAGAACCACCAUGGCUAAUGAAACCUGUUCAAGGAAGUCCAAGGAAUUGGUAUUUUGAAAGGAACCGGAUAACUUGCUCAGUACGGAAUGAUGGAGACCACUGUGGCAUCAGACCAGAGGCAAAGCAAAAAAGGGAAGGGCUGGCUGGAGUGAAAGAAAUCACAGGAGGGCUGGAUAUAGCCUGCAAGGGCUGGGAUUGAACAUGAUCAUUUUUGUUUGCAUUCAGCAUCAGUUCAGACAACUGCUGAGAGUUAAGAAGAGAGGCAGACAUCGCCAUGGUCAAACAAAAGCAAUCGGUUUUCCUCUUCCUUAAAGCACAGAGUGAAAGAAAACAGCUGCAGGCAAGAAAGAACGGAAGCAUGGAAAGGUACUCCUGUGGCACCUCUUUCUUUAAUUUCCACACAGGAGAAUCAAAUGAAGUUGUAGGUUGACAAAAUUGAUCCUGGCAAGUGUCAUUUCUGAGUGUGAAAUAUGUUGCAUUUUUUGUGAGGAAAGAAAUGUUGGAUUAGCGGAGAAACAUUAAUGAG